AAUCAGGCGUAAAGUAUUAAAAAUACAAAAUUUUGAAGAUUUUGCUUUAAAAGCUUGUGAGAAGUCGAGACUUCGCUUUGCUUUAUUUUUUUUUAAUAAAACGUAAAGACGAAAAUGUUGACACGCAUAAAUAUGUUGAGGCAAAUUGUACGAAAUUAGAUAGAGCAGUUUAAGUUAUUAACGGAUACUCUUGAUCUCUCAGCCAAAAUUUCGCCGUCUCCUGGGUGGAAUCAGCUGUAAUGUCACUAAAUUGUUCCUGAGUUAGUCAUGGCAAUAUUGUGCUUUAAAUUGGUGGCGAACGGAGUGUUAUCCGUCUCCUUAUAAAUCUAGAAUUAGUUUUCAAGUUUUCAAAUUAUAUAUUUGCUACGGCUCCCAUUAAAAGAUCUAAAAUCUCCUGGCAGCCAGUUUGGGAACUGCGGAUACUUGUAUGACUAGUAUCGGGAAAAAAAGUCUAGAAGACCUUUUUUUUUCGAUACUACUCAUGCAAGUGAUUGCUGCAUAGCUUGUUCUCUUUGCAAGGUGUGUCUAUCGAGAGAAGGAAUGCACAGUAUCAAGGGCAGGCUCCAUGAGGAAGCAAAAGAAGAAGAAGUGUAUAAUUUAGAUAUUGUUCUAAAUAAAGGAAACAAUUAAUAAAUAUACACCUUACAUUUCCUUGUUUUUAUUUAUAUACUUUGUUAUAAGGGCAGGAAAUUCAGUAAAUUUUUCGCAUUGGCAUCAGGAAGACAAGAACUGUAGUAAUGCUAUGAUUACUAUGACCUGUAGCAGGAGUUACGUUUAUAUUUCGACGAUGUUGAAAUCGAUUUUAUGUGGAAUCGGUGUUUAAAGAAUGUUUUAGAAUGGGAAUAGAAAUCGAAAAGUUCCAAAUUUGUAGAUUGAGAAGGACGACGGCCACUUUGAAGCGAGUCCGGACACGCGUACAGAUCGGUAAAAAAAAAAAAAAAGUAGGAAAACUUUAAAGAGGUGAAACGGUUAAGCCAAGAGAAAGUAGAUCUCCAAUCCCCUGAGACGGCAGCAACAAUAAGAAAUGUGGAGGAGAAGGCGAUUGGUCAGAGUCCACUUUUAACUUACUUAGAGUCGAGCGGCGAGAGGAAACUGAUAAUGGAUUUUUUCUGCCCCGGCACCAUUGACUAAUGGUCCCAGGUGCUAAGUCUCUCACACUAGGACAACACACUCUUGUUGCUUGGUCCAUCCCGCCGGAUGUAAUCUUAUCCUCUCGACUGCGUUACGUGUUGGUGGUUACCUGUAGACUACUUCCUUCUUCCCAAUUACGGAAGUAGAAACCAAAAGUAGUGAUGGAAGUAUUGUCGGUCUGUUGAGUCCAACCAAAACAGAUGGAACAAACAUCCAAUUUAACUAGUUUACAGCUCUGUGUUAGAUUUCUAAAGAUCUGAUUGCCGGCUCUAUCGGCAUAUUUUAAAAAUGAUGAUUACCGUGUACAUAAAUGGUAAACAGUUCGGGCAAAUUGACAUUUUUUUAAAACGGUCCGUUUCAAAUUCGAUAAUUAGAAAAGAAUGGCAGAUUGGAUAGUCGGAAUUAGACUAGUGAUGUAGGCCUCCUAAUCAUUAUUCCUCUUUUAUUACGCACCGUUCUUCAACCGAGUGUUAUUUCGUGACUGGAGAUUUAAUCGAUAGCGAAAAGCUGACGUGACAAACAGCCUUACGUCUCCUAAUUUGUUCGUACGCAGUUAACGAGACCCCGUCGAAUUCCUUGUCGUUGUUAAAAUCUCUCUGAGGUUGGACCUAAAUGUUUUGUGCUAAUAGGUUAGCCUGUGAAAGGAAUUGCAGUCGUACAUAAAUAUACGAUUUUUAUCAAUCGGGCAUGGGAAUCUAUGGUGCGACGAUUUACUUGGCAUAGAAUGAUGCUUCGUUAAUUGCGUGGCUACCGUUGACCACCGCUUAAUUACUCAAGUAAAUGCCAAAUCUCUAAAUUUAAAUUGUUCCAGUUUCUGUAGUUUGUUUAAUUUGUGGGUAGAAAACGGAUUGUCCACACGCGAAUCUGUAUAAGUACUUUAUCGUGUUAGUAAAUAUCGUGCGGAUGAUUAACAUGCACCGCCAUAUCGGGUUAAACGUAGAAUGGUAAACUGGCAGUUAUACAAAGUAAAUUUUGCUAUGUGGUGUCGUUACCCGACACACGUAGGGCCAGUGGGAGCAUGCUCGUCUUUAUUUGCUCCGUGGUCUGUAUUAAAGACGGGGGUGGCAUUUUUAGGUGCGUGUAAUUACCACCGGCGGCGCUGGCGUCGCUUCUACCACGCCGCUCUCUUCUCUACUCUUUCAGGUAGCGUCAGUCCGUCUUUCAGUCUGUGUAAAGUUGGAUCGGUGCGUGUGUGUUUCGGUUCCGGGAGCGUGGUCACUAAUGGGGCUGACUCGUCUGCCUCCGUGACAGACCCAACUGGCCUCCGACCCGCCCCCGCUCCCGAACAUGGCAACAAAUGGGUUUGAUUUACGCCGUUACGGAGUGGAAAACUUGCAGAAUCUGCUGAAGACUCACGGGUCUCAGUGCCUUCACCAUUUCUUACAGGUGAGUUAGAUAUUCGACCACCCCGUUAGACAGUAGAGAGAAGAAUAAUCCCUCGAUAUUUUACUGGCCACCAGAAAAACGUAACUCUUUAAAAAAAAAGGAAACUCGCGUGCUAAACUUUAUAGUUUUGUUGAUACAAUAUUAUUAUGCUCACCCUCGAUUAAUUAUGAUCAAACAGAACGUAUAAAAUCAGAUUAGUCGCGAUUCAUAGCCCGCAAUAUAUACGGAUAGAGGUAUUUUUUAUCUUUCUCGCCUAUCGAAACAGAAACUACUUGUUAAGUCAGAAUUUGUUUUUCCUCGUCGCGCAAGCCCGGCACGCCAUCCCCGGAUUUUUCUUUUUGGCGCCAUUGUUCGUCCAGAUCACGUUUCUAUCCCUUAUCUAUCGAAUGCCCGGUAGAUUUGAUUUGGGACACGUGAUUGGCAGCGGGCCACAAUGCUGAUCAAAGCCAAGUUGAUUACCGGCUACACUUUUCCAAUAUCGAAGUUAGACGCCUCAUUUUACCCCGGCUACCCCACAUCGAUUUUUUUUUUCCUUCACCCGUUAUCACGUUAUGUAGUUGGGAUUGUCGGACAUUGUUCUUCUGUUGACACUUCCCCCUCGGAAUUGAUCCGUGGACCCGAGUUUCUCCGCUAGCGGGUAGAGAUACCCGUUUUCACUAAUUCCCUCUGUCUGUCAGCCAAAGAUAAGGCAUCCUGUGCCAUUAGUCAGCGUCGGAUCCAUUCUUCGCUUUACUACGACUCUCUUGCCAUUCUUACAAAUGCUCGCUUCUUCCAUUGCUUAAUACGGAUCGACACACACACGCACACGCGGUCCGAUUUUUGGUUCUUCCCUUUUAGAAGUUGCAGUUUGUAGUUAGCGGAUGACUAAGCUGUUGCCGGUGUAAAUUUCUGUCGAAUUUCGGGAUGGAGAGAGGAAGAAGCGAGAUUGGUAUUCCUCCUUUUUCCGUCGUCUGAGAAAAUUUUAAAUAUUCAGCAGCUCCGGUUUGUGACUCGGAGGCUGGAUAACCUAACAGUUCGCUUGCCGUCGUCCGCUUCUAAUACAGAUGUUUCUUCCGGCAUACAACCCGACUGUUGUUACCAUGACAACUGUUAGGAGUAACCGGCGAAGGAAAGGACCCCCCUUCGGGUGGCGGACGUCUUUUAUAAGGUGGGAUGCGCGGGUAGCGAGGCAACGGUUUGGGUCGAUGCCAUUCUUAAUUUAAUCACGGUAAGGGUUAAUGUGGAACUGUUAUGUCGGCCAUCCGACUAUCCAGUCCGGUUUAUUAUAUUCGACAGUCGGAAGCCUCUCUCUCUUCCGGCCCAGUAAUUAGGUCUGCCCGUGUCUUUUAACCGAUAACUUAAUCCGGAAUUUAGUGCGCCCCGUUCGUUUAACGCUCUAAUCCGCGCAACCAGUGCUCCGUCCAAUACUAGCAUAUUGCGUGAUAACGAGUUAAUUGGAAAAGGUUUUAGCGCUUAUCCGACGGAAUUAGAAGACGGUAGGUGAAGGAUAAUAACUUUAAUUUUGGGGGGCAUAUGCGUGGACGUCUUUCGGGGUUUCAGUGGCUAAUAACUCUCCCUGUUAUCCGGCCGGUCGUUUCCGUUAAUUAAGCCAUUUAGAUAGAUGCGGAUGCAACUCCGUCCUUCCCUUCUGGACCGCUUUUAUCGGACGUAAACGAGCGUCUAUUUUUAGACGCAGCGAAAAUUUUCUGCGGAUUUUUAAAAAAUUGUCUAGAAAUAACGCAAGAGGAAGAUCAUUACUUAGAUUUUUCCAGCGCAUCCCUACCGGUAAUUUAAAAGUAAAUAUUAAAAAUCCAGCCGACGGAACAUCUUUAAAAUCCAAGGAUCGAUCUCGACACAAUGAGAGAGUGCAGAGAGAGAAGCAUGCACCCCAAAAAUGGAUAUUCCGCCGGCAUCUGGAAUUUCUAUAAAUAGAGUUUAUUAGUUGGAAAUUUUAAAAUUGAGUUAAAUUUAAUUCCAAACAAGUAAGUGGGGUGUAUUAACCGGCGAAACGUCGUUAGGCGCGCACCAGCUGUUUCUCCUCCGGCACUCAAUCGUGUGCUCUUCCUCGUUUACCGUCGUCUCUGCUGGACCCGUGCCUGGCAGCUGUCGAAGUCAUCGACCGUCGGACACGUUGCAACGGCUCUUACCAAAAAUCUGGACCCUUUAUCCGUGCCCAAUAAUCGGAGUAAUUACGAUACCGGCCCAUAAUUAGUUUAGUUUCUACGCUGCUAUUUCGACUACCUCCUCGGCCUCGUCAUGACGAUGGUGUUAACGAUGCCAGCCAAUUAAUGAAGUCACCACCGGGUGCCUCAGCUCUCACUGGUUAAACCAUCAGAUCGGCGAUAAAAACUAGCGGGUAGUUAUCACCAUCGACUAACUAUAGAUAAGCCCCUUUUCUUCCUUAAUCCUGUCUGAGCUUUGCUUCGUGCUCGAAAUUAAUGGCCAUUCUAGAUGAUCAAGUUCUUUAACCGAUGAAAUUUACUCGUGAUCUUUGCAAGCCAUGGUUUUAAUUAAUUCUCUUUGUUUGCCAAAAAUAGUGGUAAUUUCUUCUGACUGCUAAGAGAGCCCGUUUAACGUCAGUGGUAUCGUGUUUUUGCAUGGGUUUUCUAGACGUAUCUGGGCAUUUUUUUAUCUAUAUCGAUACAGUUAAAGGUGGUUCCUUCGGCCGUAUUCAUCGAAGGAAGAGAAGGCGGUGGUCCGAGUGUCGUAUAUUAUCUAGAUAAUAGGAGCUGUUUACGCAGUCCGCAUGCUUCCGCCUCAUCGAUUGGACGCGGAAUAUAUCGGAGUCUUUUCCACCCCUCGGAAGAAUGAGAAUUUCCGGGCGGCGGAUGUGACGUGGAAAAUCGACCGGAAGUGGCCGGGAAAAACUAUCCGAGCUUAUAAAAGUAAUCUAGAACGGUGGAAGGAUCGUCGUUGCUCUCUUUGUCUUAUCCUCUAGAGGCGAGGUUCGAUCGAGAGGUACGGCACGUCGCGUCUCCCAACAGCGCGGAUAGCCCACUCGGCACUGGCAAACGUUGUGAAUAAAAGAACAUGUCUCCGUCUUCCACUUAUUCCAUCCGACUUCUUUAACUUCGUUCCUGUCGGAAAAUUAGCCGUAAAAACCCAUUUAUUCACCGGGGGGAUUUCCCUGCCUUAAUACCCAUUACGGAGAGAAAUGCGUUUACGACCGAUUGUCGUUAUGGAGGCGCGGAGAGGCUGGCAACCGUAUGAUUUGGACAGAUUGGCAAAUGUAUUUCGCCUUCGGUUGGAUUAUCUUACUAUUCUCCAGAAAUGCCGGCUUGUAGUUGUUAGAGGUCGAAACCAGUUAACGCUCUUUUUGUAUAUAACAAGUUCUGCAUGCGACCAUAUCACUUAUUGAUCAGAGCCGUUUAUCUGUUUCUUGUUAAAUUUUUUUCGGAAUUUGAGACGAGUAUUUUACAUAUUCUAGAAAUUCUCUAUACUGGUAAAAGUUUUGUAUAUAUGUCUAUAUUAAUUUGUGGAAUUAUUAUAUUAUUUUAGUGCCGAUAUUAAGGUUCUGCAUUUUAUCGCUAUAUUUCGACUGAUUUAUAUUACCAUUGCCAUGGAGAUACGGACCAGCAUAAGACCGACAGCAUUUUCUAAUGCACUGACAAUGAGAUAUUCAUAUCGUACGCGCUAACCAUCAUUAUUUUCGACGACCUUUGACAAUUAAUGACUGUUCUUGUUCUGCACUUUACUGGUCGUGAAUAAUUGAAUUUUUGCUUUGUAUUUGAU
rnacentral:lncRNA from 1 species